CAGUAGCCGCGGGAAUACGAAGGGGGCUAGCGUUGUUCGGAAUUACUGGGCGUAAAGGGCGCGUAGGCGGCCAUUCAAGUUAGAUGUGAAAGCCCUGGGCUCAACCUAGGAAUUGCAUUUGAUACUGUUUGGCUUGAGUUCGGGAGAGGUGAGUGGAAUUCCCAGUGUAGAGGUGAAAUUCGUAGAUAUUGGGAAGAACACCAGUGGCGAAGGCGGCUCACUGGACCGACACUGACGCUGAGGCGCGAAAGCGUGGGGAGCAAACAGGAUUAGAUACCCGCGUAGUCCCUGUCUCUUAUAC
rnacentral:rRNA from 1 species